rnacentral:rRNA from 1 species
UACGAAGGGGGCUAGCGUUGCUCGGAAUUACUGGGCGUAAAGGGCGCGUAGGCGGCACUGUUAGUCAGGCGUGAAAGUCCUGGGCUCAACCUGGGAACUGCGCUUGAUACGGCAGAGCUAGAGGAUGGAAGAGGCUCGCGGAAUUCCCAGUGUAGAGGUGAAAUUCGUAGAUAUUGGGAAGAGCACCGGUGGCGAAGGCAGCUCUCUGGGUCCCUACCGACGCUGGGGUGCGAAAGCAUGGGGAGCGAACAGG